AAAAAUAAAAUUUAAAUAUGAAGUAAAAAAACACCUAAUGAGUAAACUCAGGGCAAUGUCAGAUUCAGAUUUUAUAUUUUAUUAGAUUAUUUUUAUAUGAAUAAGUUAUGCUGUGUAUCAUGGAUACUAUUAUUGCUGUAAAAUUGAUUGAAAAUUGAUUCAUUUUAUUAUCAAGACUAAAAGGACCCCAUUGGAUAUAAGCUUGUAUGCUUUCAUGGGUUAUCCUUGGGU
rnacentral:lncRNA from 1 species